rnacentral:misc_RNA from 1 species
GAUGAAGAACGUAGCGAAAUGCGAUACUUGGUGUGAAUUGCAGAAUCCCGUGAACCAUCGAGUCUUUGAACGCAAGUUGCGCCCGAAGCCACUAGGCCGAGGGCACGCCUGCCUGGGCGUCACACGUCGUUGCCCCCCCCCCAUCUACUCCUUCGGGAUUGCGGGGGGCGGAUGAUGGCCUCCCGUGCGCCUAGCCGCGCGGUUGGCAUAAAUACCAAGUCCUCGGCGACGCAUGCCACGACAAUCGGUGGUUGCGAAACCUCGGUUGCCCGUCGUGUGCGUUCGUCGCGCAUCGAGGGCUCGAAAAAAUGCUCGGCUCCGGCUCGGCUUUCAACGCGACCCCAGGUCAGGCGGGGUUACCCGCUGAACUUAAGCAUAUCAAUAAGCGGAGGA